GUGUGUGUGUGUGUGUGUGUGUGUGUGUGUGUGUGUGUGUGUGUGUGUGUGUGUGUGUAUGUGUGUGUGUGUGCACAUACUCGGUGAUGGGACGGUGUUAGCUCCCCAUCAGCACCAUCUCUAACGAAAUAAUAAAAAAAAGUUCAUUUGUUUUUGUUUUGAUCAGUUAUCAUUUUUAGAUGAACCAUUCUUUUAAACGAAUGCGAAGAAACACUGUUACGGUGACAUGAUAUCCUUGGAAGAGACGUGUGUUUGUUUCAUUGUCAUAAGUCUAUAUUGCUUAUGAAGUUACAUUUUGAUCAUGCUGAGAGAGGAGACUUUAAAGAAGAACGACAUUAUUUUGGGGUUUGAAAUUCUGUCAUCGAACACAUAUUGGUAGAACACAUAAACCCAACAUGGCUGUUUUGUCACAGAACGCCAUGUUAGUUGUGAGAGCCACAUGUAAAAGCUUGUUCUAAACAAUCCAAUACAAAGAAGUCAAACUCAGAGAAUGAAAUAGUAUGAAACAGUAUGGUGUUUAUUGAGCUGUUUCGAAGCACACAGCUAUCUUGAACAAGCAGCAACACAAGAAUAUUCACACUUGAUGUUCAUAGUACAGUC